rnacentral:misc_RNA from 1 species
UACAGAGGCCCCAAGCGUUAUCCGGAAUCAUUGGGCGUAAAGGGUGCGUAGGCGGCUAUAUUAGUCUCUUGUUAAAGGCUUCGGCUCAACCGAAGUUUCGCGGGGGAAACGGUAUAGCUUGAGAAUGUGAGAGGUGUGCGGAACUCAUGGAGUAGGGGUGAAAUCCGUUGAUAUCAUGGGGAACACCAAAUGCGAAGGCAGCACACUGGCACAUUUCUGACGCUGAGGCACGAAAGCUAGGGUAGCGAACGGG